GGACUACUGGGGUAUCUAAUCCUGUUUGCUACCCAUGCUUUCGUAUCUCAGCGUCAGUAUAGGACCAGGUAGCCGCCUUCGCCACCGGUAUUCCUCCAGAUAUCUACGUAUUUCACCACUACACCUGGAAUUCCACUACCCUCUUCCAUACUCAAGCCAAACAGUAUCAAGUGCACUUCCCGGGUUGAGCCCGGGGCUUUCACACCUGACUUAUUUGGCCGCCUACAUACUCUUUACGCCCAAUGAUUCCGAACAACGCUAGCACCCCUCGUAUUACCGCGGCUGCUGGCAC
rnacentral:rRNA from 1 species